AUUGAACGCUGGCGGCAGGCUUAACACAUGCAAGUCGAACGAGUGGCGGACGGGUGAGUAAUGCUUGGGAAUCUAGCUUAUGGAGGGGGAUAACUACGGGAAACUGUAGCUAAUACCGCUUACCCUAGGAUGAGCCCAAGUGGGAUUAGGUAGUUGGUGAGGUAAAGGCUCACCAAGCCGACGAUCUCUAGCUGGUCUGAGAGGAUGACCAGCCACACUGUGACUGAGACACGGCCCAGAUUCCUACGGGAGGCAGCAGUGGGGAAUAUUGCGCAAUGGGGGCAACCUGACGCAGCCAUGCCGCGUGAAUGAAGAGGGCCUUCGUGUUGUAAAGCACUUUCAGCGAGGAGGCGUUACUCGCAGAAGAAGCACUGGCUAACUCCGUGCCAGCAGCCGCGGUAAUAC
rnacentral:rRNA from 1 species